rnacentral:ncRNA from 1 species
UUUAUGGAGAGUUUGAUCCUGGCUCAGGAUGAACGCUGGCAGCGUGCCUAACACAUGCAAGUCGAGCGCGGGCCUUACC